UAGGGAAUCUUCCGCAAUGGACGAAAGUCUGACGGAGCAACGCCGCGUGAGCGAAGAAGGCCUUCGGGUCGUAAAGCUCUGUUGUUAGGGAAGAACAAGUAUCGGAGUAACUGCCGGUACCUUGACGGUACCUAACCAGACAGCCACGGCUAACUACGUGCCAGCAGCCGCGGUAAUACGUAGGUGGCAAGCGUUGUCCGGAAUUAUUGGGCGUAAAGCGCGCGCAGGCGGUCCUUUAAGUCUGAUGUGAAAGCCCACGGCUCAACCGUGGAGGGUCAUUGGAAACUGGGGGACUUGAGUGCAGAAGAGGAGAGUGGAAUUCCACGUGUAGCGGUGAAAUGCGUAGAGAUGUGGAGGAACACCAGUGGCGAAGGCGACUCUCUGGUCUGUAACUGACGCUGAGGCGCGAAAGCGUGGGGAGCAAACAGGGAUUAGAUACCCUGGUAGUCCACGCCGUAAACGAUGAGUGCUAAGUGUUAGAGGGUUUCCGCCCUUUAGUG
rnacentral:rRNA from 1 species